ensembl:miRNA
ACAUGGGCCCGCGGGCGCUCCUGGCCGCCGCCCGACUUCGGGGCCAGCGGGGGGCAGAGCGCGCGGGAGCCCGAGCGU